AACGAACGCUGGCGGCAUGCCUAACACAUGCAAGUCGAACGAGACCUUCGGGUCUAGUGGCGCACGGGUGCGUAACGCGUGGGAACCUGCCCUUAGGUUCGGAAUAACUCCCCGAAAGGGGUGCUAAUACCGGAUAAUGUCUUCGGACCAAAGAUUUAUCGCCUUUGGAUGGGCCCGCGUUGGAUUAGCUAGUUGGUAGGGUAAAAGCCUACCAAGGCGACGAUCCAUAGCUGGUCUGAGAGGAUGAUCAGCCACACUGGGACUGAGACACGGCCCAGACUCCUACGGGAGGCAGCAGUGGGGAAUAUUGGACAAUGGGCGAGAGCCUGAUCCAGCAAUGCCGCGUGAGUGAUGAAGGCCUUAGGGUUGUAAAGCUCUUUUACCCGGGAUGAUAAUGACAGUACCGGGAGAAUAAGCCCCGGCUAACUCCGUG
rnacentral:rRNA from 1 species